rnacentral:rRNA from 1 species
GGGCCCGCACAAGCGGAGGAACAUGUGGUUUAAUUCGAUGAUACGCGAGGAACCUUACCUGGGCUUAAAUGUGAGACGACCGCCGAAGAAAUUUGGCUUUCCGCAAGGACGACUUACAAGGUGCUGCA